rnacentral:rRNA from 1 species
GUGGGGAAUAUUGGACAAUGGGCGAAAGCCUGAUCCAGCCAUGCCGCGUGUGUGAAGAAGGUCUUCGGAUUGUAAAGCACUUUAAGUUGGGAGGAAGGGCAGUAAGUUAAUACCUUGCUGUUUUGACGUUACCGACAGAAUAAGCACCGGCUAACCCUGUGCCAGCAGCCGCGGUAAUACAGAGGGUGCAAGCGUUAAUCGGAAUUACUGGGCGUAAAGCGCGCGUAGGUGGUUCGUUAAGUUGGAUGUGAAAGCCCCGGGCUCAACCUGGGAACUGCAUCCAAAACUGGCGAGCUAGAGUACGGUAGAGGGUGGUGGAAUUUCCUGUGUAGCGGUGAAAUGCGUAGAUAUAGGAAGGAACACCAGUGGCGAAGGCGACCACCUGGACUGAUACUGACACUGAGGUGCGAAAGCGUGGGGAGCAAACAGGAUUAGAAACCCGAGUAGUCC